rnacentral:rRNA from 1 species
UGUACACACCGCCCGUCACACCACGAAAGUUGAGAGCACCCGAAGCCGGUGAGGUAACCAGCAAUGGAACCAGCCGUCGAAGGUGAGAUCAGCGAUUGGGGUGGAGUCGUAACAAGGUAGCCGUAUCGGAAGGUGCGGCUGGAUCACCUCCUU